rnacentral:rRNA from 1 species
AUGUUGGCUUAGAAGCAGCCAUCAUUUAAAGAGUGCGUAAUAGCUCACUAGUCGAGUGACACUGCGCCGAAAAUGUACCGGGGCUAAACAUAUUACCGAAGCUGUGGAUUGUCCUUUGGACAAUGGUAGGAGAGCGUUCUAAGGGCGUUGAAGCAUGAUCGCAAGGACAUGUGGAGCGCUUAGAAGUGAGAAUGCCGGUGUGAGUAGCGAAAGACGGGUGAGAAUCCCGUCCACCGAUUGACUAAGGUUUCCAGAGGAAGGCUCGUCCGCUCUGGGUUAGUCGGGUCCUAAGCUGAGGCCGACAGGCGUAGGCGAUGGAUAACAGGUUGAUAUUCCUGUACCACCAUUAUUCGUUUUAAGCGAUGGGGGGACGCAGUAGGAUAGGCGAAGCGUGCUGUUGGAGUGCACGUCCAAGCAGUGAGAUUGAGUGUUAGGCAAAUCCGGCACUCUUAAGAUUGAGCUGUGAUGGGGAGAGGAACUUGUUCCUCGAGUCGUUGAUUUCACACUGCCGAGAAAAGCCUCUAGCUAGAAUAACGGUGCCCGUACCGCAAACCGACACAGGUAGUCAAGAUGAGAAUUCUAAGGUGAGCGAGCGAACUCUCGUUAAGGAACUCGGCAAAAUGACCCCGUAACUUCGGGAGAAGGGGUGCUCUUUGAGGUUCACGCUUCGAAGAGCCGCAGUGAAUAGGCCCAAGCGACUGUUUAUCAAAAACACAGGUCUCUGCUAAACCGUAAGGUGACGUAUAGGGGCUGACGCCUGCCCGGUGCUGGAAGGUUAAGAGGAGUGGUUAGCGCAAGCGAAGCUACGAAUCGAAGCCCCAGUAAACGGCGGCCGUAACUAUAACGGUCCUAAGGUAGCGAAAUUCCUUGUCGGGUAAGUUCCGACCCGCACGAAAGGCGUAACGAUUUGGGCACUGUCUCAACGAGAGACUCGGUGAAAUCAUAGUACCGGUGAAGAUGCCGGUUACCCGCGACAGGACGGAAAGACCCCGUGGAGCUUUACUGUAGCCUGAUAUUGAAAUUCGGUACAGUUUGUACAGGAUAGGUAGGAGCCUUAGAAGCGUGAGCGCUAGCUUACGUGGAGGCAUUGGUGGGAUACUACCCUAAUUGUAUUGGAUUUCUAACCCGCAGCACUUAUCGUGCUGGGAGACAGUGUCAGGCGGGCAGUUUGACUGGGGCGGUCGCCUCCUAAAGAGUAACGGAGGCGCUCAAAGGUUCCCUCAGAAUGGUUGGAAAUCAUUCAUAGAGUGUAAAGGCAUAAGGGAGCUUGACUGCGAGACCUACAAGUCGAGCAGGGUCGAAAGACGGACUUAGUGAUCCGGUGGUUCCGCAUGGAAGGGCCAUCGCUCAACGGAUAAAAGCUACCCCGGGGAUAACAGGCUUAUCUCCCCCAAGAGUUCACAUCGACGGGGAGGUUUGGCACCUCGAUGUCGGCUCAUCGCAUCCUGGGGCUGUAGUCGGUCCCAAGGGUUGGGCUGUUCGCCCAUUAAAGCGGUACGCGAGCUGGGUUCAGAACGUCGUGAGACAGUUCGGUCCCUAUCCGUCGUGGGCGUAGGAAAUUUGAGAGGAGCUGUCCUUAGUACGAGAGGACCGGGAUGGACAUACCUCUGGUGUACCAGUUGUCGUGCCAACGGCAUAGCUGGGUAGCUAUGUAUGGACGGGAUAAGUGCUGAAAGCAUCUAAGCAUGAAGCCCCCCUCGAGAUGAGAUUUCCCAACUUCGGUUAUAAG